GGGGCUGUAGCUCAGUCGGGAGAGCGGCGGCUUUGCAAGCCGUAGGUCGUCGGUUCGAACCCGAUCAGCUCCACCA
rnacentral:tRNA from 1 species